rnacentral:lncRNA from 1 species
UUUGGCCUACAAGCAUUGGCUGAACUUUGGGGACGACAUUCCCAGCGCUCUUCGAAUCGCGAAGCAGCGCUGAAACAGCAUCGAGGAAGGGCGCAUCCACCAGGAGAGCGAGCUGCACUCCUACCUCUCGAGGCUCAUUGCGGCAGAGCGUGAGAGGGAGCUCGAAGAGUGCCAACGGAACCAUAAGGGUGAUGAAGACGACAGCCAGGUCCGGGCCCAGCAGGCCUGCAAUGAGGCCAAGCACGUGAGGGUGCCCCCCGCCCACAUGACAAAUACAUGGCGGACAUGGAUGAGCUCUUCUCUCAGGUGGACGAGAAGAGGAAGAAGUACGACAUCCCCAAAUACCUGUGCUGUAAGAUCAGUUUUGAGCUGAUGCGGGAGCUAUGCAUCACGCCCACUGGCAUCUCCUAUGACCGCAAGGACAUCGAGGAGCACCUGCAGCGCGUGGAUCAUUUUGACCCUGUGACCUGGAGCCCCCUAACCCAGAAACAGUUCAUCCCCAACCUGGCCAUGAAGGAGGUCAUUGACGCAUUCAUCUCUGAGAACGGCUGGGUUGAGGAC